UCUGAAGUCCGAAUGAGCAACAAAUGAAAACUUCCCGCCUUGCCAAACGGCUUCACUCUUCCCGCAUUUCUCUAGAGCCUUCUCCGACACUCUUAAUCUUAGGAGGAUCAAUGUCUAAGAAAAUAGGCCUUUCACUGGAAGAGAAGCGUUAGAAGAUGCUUCCGUUGUUUUACGAGUCUCAAGACUUUUUCCUUCUUAAGGAGCUUGAAAAGCUGGGUCCUAGGAAAGGUGUGAUUUCUCAGUCAGUGAAAGAUGUUGUGCAAAGUUUAGUGGAUGAUGACCUUGUUUCAAAAGAGAAGAUUGGAACUUCAGUGAGUUAUAGUUUUGAGAUGAAA